AUUGAACGCUGGCGGCAGGCCUAACACAUGCAAGUCGAACGGUAACAGGAAGAAGCUUGCUUCUUUGCUGACGAGUGGCGGACGGGUGAGUAAUGUCUGGGAAACUGCCUGAUGGAGGGGGAUAACUACUGGAAACGGUAGCUAAUACCGCAUAACGUCGCAAGACCAAAGAGGGGGACCUUCGGGCCUCUUGCCAUCGGAUGUGCCCAGAUGGGAUUAGCUAGUAGGUGGGGUAACGGCUCACCUAGGCGACGAUCCCUAGCUGGUCUGAGAGGAUGACCACCCAACCGGGAAUGGGAAACGGGUCCAGCCCCCUACGGGAGGCAGGGGGGGGGAAUUUUGCACAAUGGGGGCAAGCCUGAUGCAGCCAUGCCGGGUGUAUGAAAAAGGCCUUCGGUUUGUAAAGUAUUUUCAGGGGGGGGGAAGGGAGGAAAGUUAAUCCCUUUACUCAUUGACGUUCCCCGCAGAAAAAGCACCGGCUAACUCCGG
rnacentral:rRNA from 1 species